UACAGAGGGGGCAAGCGUUGUUCGGAAUUACUGGGCGUAAAGGGCGCGUAGGUGGCCUUCUAAGUUGAACGUGAAAUCCCUGGGCUCAACCCAGGAACUGCGUCCAAGACUGGGAGGCUUGAAUCCGGGAGAGGGAUGCGGAAUUCCAGGUGUAGCGGUGAAAUGCGUAGAUAUCUGGAGGAACACCGGUGGCGAAGGCGGCAUCCUGGACCGGUAUUGACACUGAGGCGCGAAGGCCAGGGGAGCAAACGGG
rnacentral:rRNA from 1 species